AUGUUUUGAAAGGUUGUGUGGACCAGCCCCCAUGAAGAAUACCAGACCAAUGAGAACAGGUUCAGUAAGCGAGCCUCCCCAGUGCAGUGGUUCCAGUUUGUUGAGCAAGGCAGAGAGCUGGGUCUGUAGUCACAUGUGUACAGUGUGAAUCCUCUGACAUUGCCCGCAAGCUGCAGCUAGAGCCAGCUUCAAUGAGACGUUGCUUCAGGCACUGGGUCCAACUGGUUUCCUGUGGAUUUGAGCCCAGAUAGCGGGAGAUCUGAUUGGUCCAUUGUUGGCCGACAGCAUUCCUCAGGCAGUCAUGGUGGAUCACCUACCGCCCAAUAACAGCCACUUCCUGUCCCUGGCUCCAUCGGUGGGUUACCAUGGUGAUAAGAUGAUGGAGAGAAGCAGUUACCGGAUGUUACCAUCCCCUGUGUCUGAGGAUGACAGUGACUGCUCAAGCUCACACUCCUGUUCCAGUCCUGACUCCCUGGUCCUAAGCUCCGGCUGUAACAGCUCAUCCAGCAACCAGAGUAGAGACGGAAUCAUCGAUUACCUGCUUUCCCAGGCUUCCAUGAGGAACUUCCCAACUCUGGGUUUAGACCAGAAGGCUGGCCAUCCCACCAUCAAGGAGGAGGCUGUGGAAUUUCCCAGUUUUGGGGCAGUCAGGGAUGAGUUGGGGCCAUUCCAGCCAACACUGGAGGAAAUUGAAGAAUUCCUUGAGGAGAACAUGGAUGUGGGUUUAAAGGAUGAAUUCAAAAGUGAAGUGACUGAGGAGACAAAUGGUGACCUGGGAUCCACUGGCAUGCUGCAGGGCAAAGGUCAGUUCAAAGUCCUCCCCGUGCAAGUCAAGUCUGAAACCAAAGGUGUGAGGAAUAUUGAGGAGGCAUUGAAGAUUGGUGGAGCCAUCCCAGUCAUUCUUCAACUGCAGCCCAUUGAGAUGAAGCAGGAUCAUGGCAGUAUGGGUGCUCCACAUCCUCGAACAGACCUGAAGAUUGCCCAACUCCUCAUCAAUAUCCAGGGGCAAACUUUUACCCUCGUGCCUCAGUUUGUGCAGUCAGCCAACCUGAGCUGUUCCCGUCAGUAUGUGCGGAUUGCACCGGUUCCUGUAGCUGCUAAGCCGGUGGCGGGAGCUAUAGAAGGCUCCCAGGGCCAAGGCAACCUCCUUCUGGGGCACAAGUUUCCAAAAGGGACCCCAGCAGAACUCCUGAAAAUGCACAAGUGCACAUUUCCUGGUUGCACCAAGAUGUACACCAAGAGCAGCCAUUUGAAAGCUCAUUUAAGGAGACACACAGGAGAGAAGCCGUUCGCCUGCACUUGGCCCGGAUGUGUCUGGAGGUUCUCAAGGUCCGAUGAACUAUCCAGACACCGACGAUCACACUCUGGAGUCAAGCCAUACCAGUGUGCUAUCUGUGAGAAGAGGUUUGCUCGCAGUGACCACCUUUCCAAACAUGUCAAGGUCCACCGCUUUCCCAGAACUGGCCGGAUGGCCCGGCCUGCAAACUGACCGUCUGGAAUGGUGACCCAGCCCUAAGGGCUGCCUGUGAAAACUGAAGAUGCUGCCGGACCUUCUGAGCUUUCCCAGCAAUUUGUUUUUGUUCAACACAAAUCGAUUGGCAUUUUAGAUUCCACUGGGUUGACAGCACCCAGGGUGAUCUGUUGUGAAGGGGAGAGGAUACCGCAGAUGACUGAGUUUGGGGUGAGUGCAACUUCAGAAUCUUUCCUCCUCGUGUUUCUGAUGAGCCUUUGCUCGAGGGAGUUGGUAUGUUUGUUUCUUUAAUCUGGCUACACCAUCUGCAGAGAUCCUGGCUGACAUUUUAUGGAAUUCUGACAAUUGAGCCUUCCUCAUGUGUUUGUAACAAUGUCAGCCAUACCACUGCAAUCCAUGGUGUCCAAGUGAGUAGUUGCUCACAGAAUAAAAUUACUUAGUGAUCGAUACAAGACAUAGAACAUAGAACAGUACAGCACAGUACAGGCCCUUCGGCCCUCGAUGUUGUGCGAACCUGUCAUACCGAUCUCAAGCCCAUCUAACCUACACUAUUCCAUGUACGUCCAUAUGCUUAUCCAAUGAUGACUUAAAUGUACCUAAGGUUGGCGAAUCUACUACCGUUGCAGGCAAAGCGUUCCAUUCCCUUACUACUCUCUGAGUAAAGAAACUACCUCUGACAUCUGUCCUAUAUCUUUCACCCCUCAAUUUAAAGCUAUGCCCCCUCGUGCUCGCCGUCACCAUCCUAGGAAAAAGGCUCUUCCUAUCCACCCUAUCUAACCCUCUGAUUAUUUUAUAUGUUUCAAUUAAGUCACCUCUCAACCUUCUUCUCUCUAAGAGUCAAGCUCCACAGAUGAUGGAAGCAGGAUGGAGAAAACCCAGGACAGCUGUGAGUUGGUUGCAAUGAGUGACUCACUGGAAAGAUUCCCCAGACACUCAUGAGAAACUGGCAAGUGAAACUAGAACCAGGGGGCUUAGCCUCAGGGGGAGCAGAUUUAGGACUGAAUUGAGGAGGAACUUCUUCAACCAAAGGAUUGUGAAUCUGUGGAAUUCCUUGCCCAGUGAAGCAGUCGAGGCUCCCUCAUUGAAUGUUUUUUAAGGCAAAGAUGUAUUUUGAACAGUAAAGGAAUUAAGGAUUGUGGUGAGAGGGUGGGUAAGUGGAGCUGAGUCCAUGAAAAGAUCAACCAUGAUCUUUUUAAGUGUCAGGGCAGGUUCGAGGGGCAGAUGGCCUACUCCUGCUCCUUGUUCUUAUGUUCGUAUGUUCCCUUGAGCUCAGACUCCAGCCAUCCCGAAUGUUUGUGCUCCUGAAAUGCUGCUUGGCCUGCUGUGUUCAUCCAGCUUCACACUUUGUUAUCUUGGAUUCUCCAGCAUCUGCAGUUCCCAUUAUCUCCAAAUGUUCACUCUGGUUAGUGAGUGUCAGCUAUUCUGGCAGCAUGACCAGGUUAAGUCCGUGGGGACUGAGCCGAGAUGGUAUGGGUACGUGGUAUUAUUGGGUUGAGUGAGGGCCUCAGCACCUGCUGGGGUCUUGUUCUGCCAUGUGACCACACCCCCCUCCACCACCCCCCCAAAUGGUUCUCAAGAGAAAGAGGUUGAGCUUCUCGGUAUGAAACCUUUCUACAAACCCCGUCUCAGGAAUGCCAAGAGUUUCAGGUUGGUCCAAGAGCCUCUUCGUUCUCAAAUUGAACUUGAAAGUGACUUUUGCUUUACCAAUUAUUAUUUCCCCCUCAUCAACAGAGACAGUUUGUGAGAGGCCGAGCUUCUGAGAUAAAUGGGCUUUUCUUCUGCUGACAGAUUCCGGCCCUGGACUGAGGACUGGGGCUUCAGGAGAAGGCUGGGACAUUACUGCAUUUCUCUGCAUUGCUCAUGUCAAAGACGGGUCACGAACCCCAUCUGCCAGUGUCCAGAGAGGACGAUAUGCAUCUUGGAAGUGUCCUCCACAGCUUUGGGAUAUCCCAGGUGUUUCACCACCAACAAAAACACUUUCCAAGCAUGGUCACCACUGCAUCUUGGGAAAACAGGCAAGCAAUUUUCGCACAGCAAGAUCCCACAAAGAGUAACCCGAGAGUAACCAGGUCUCAGUGAAUCUCAGAAGUGUUAUGGCCCAGGUGAAGGUCAUUUGGCCCAUCAGAAACAGGGGAAGCUAUCCAUGGUUGACACUAUUUAUGCUGUCAAAGGAAACUCACUCAGUCACUCACUCAGAAUUCAUCCCCACUUUCUUCCCUGAUAAACAGUCAGCUGAAAUAGCUCAGUUGGGAGAGCAUUAGGCUAAAGAUCUAAAGGUUCCCUGGUCCAAUUCUGGGUUUUGGCAACAUGAGUGGUUGCUGAUUGGGUUAGCCUUUGUUUAGCUGUGAUGGAGGAGAGUGAAGUGCUCCUUUUGGGGCAGCACAGUGGCUCAGUGAUUAGCACUGCUGCCUCACAGAGCCAGGGACCUGGGUUCAAUCCCACUCUCAGGCAACUGUCUGUGUGGAGUUUGCACAUUCUCCCCGUGUCUGCUUGGGUUUCCUCUCACAGUCCAAAGAUGUGCACGCUAGGGAGGACUGGCCGUGCUAAAUUGCCCGUAGUGUUUAGCGAAUGUGUAGAUGAGGUGGGUUAUAGGGGGAUGGGGUCUGGGUGGGAUGCUCUGAGGGCCAGUGUGAACUUGUUGGGUUGAAUGGCCUGUUUCCACACUGUAGGGAUUCUACGAAGCAUGAACUCAUUCAAAACUCCACAACUAAUAACAAACACCUUCACACUCAUUCCCUGAAUGCACACUAACAUCCAUUGGCUACUAGCCCACACAAACCUCUUUUAUUAAAUUUUCACCUGCAGGUUCAAGUCCUCUUUGGCCUCACCCUUUCCCAUAACUGCAUGGUGCCAUUCCUGUACCCCUGCCACCUUCAUAUUUGUAUGCAUAUCUCCAUCCGUUGACUCCAUCUAUAUCUCUCAUUGCCUUGGAAAAGUGGCCAACAUCAUCGAAGACUCCUCGCACCCCUGUUAUACUCUCUCCCAACCUCUUCUGUCAGGCAGAAGAUACAAAAGCUUAAAUACACAAUACCCUGAUGCAUUUUGUACAGUAUGAUCUGCCUGUACUGUAUGCAAAACAAAACCUUUCACUGUACCUAGGCACAUAUGACAAUAAUAAUUUAAAUCAAAUCAAAAAUCCACUAUUAGCAAACUCGCUGCCACCACCUCCUUUCUCAGUGAAAAAUUAUGCUCCAAGUCCAGGCCCUAACCACUUUUCCAUGAUCUUAUCGACAAUUAUUUUCUUACCUUUACUGUUAAAUGUUGUCAUAGACUAAAUCAGGUACCCAAAUCUACAGAAAGUAAAGUGAAAAUAUUUGUUCUUUAUUACCUUUAAAUCCACAGUCACUGCAUUAUUAAAAUCCGCAAGUAAGGGCUGUUUAACAAGGAUACUUCUUUCUAUUCUCUCCUGGGACAUGACAGUGUCUCUUGGCAAUUCUUACAAAUCGACAGCUUAUUUCUUCCAGAAGCUUAUUGUAUUCACCAUUCCUUAUUUCUGCAUCCUUUACUGAGAUUAUUAACCUUCUGGGGGAUGAAUGACCAAAAUGCCUAUUUAGGAUGUGAGUUUGCUCGCUGAGCUGGAAGGUUCGUUUUCAGACGUUCUUCGUCGGAGGCUCACUGAUGA